GCCCCCGUGGCUCAGUGGAUAGAGCAUCAGAUUACGGAUCUGGGGAUCGCGCGUUCGAAUCGCGCCGGGGGCA
rnacentral:tRNA from 1 species